GGUCAUUGGAAACUGGGGAACUUGAGUGCAGAAGAGGAAAGUGGAAUUCCAAGUGUAGCGGUGAAAUGCGUAGAGAUUUGGAGGAACACCAGUGGCGAAGGCGACUUUCUGGUCUGUAACUGACACUGAGGCGCGAAAGCGUGGGGAGCAAACAGGAUUAGAUACCCUGGUAGUCCACGCCGUAAACGAUGAGUGCUAAGUGUUAGAGGGUUUCCGCCCUUUAGUGCUGCAGCUAACGCAUUAAGCACUCCGCCUGGGGAGUACGGCCGCAAGGCUGAAACUCAAAGGAAUUGACGGGGGCCCGCACAAGCGGUGGAGCAUGUGGUUUAAUUCAAAGCAACGCGAAGAACCUUACCAGGUCUUGACAUCCUCUGACAACCCUAGAGAUACGGCUUUCCCCUUCGGGGGACAGAGUGACAGGUGGUGCAUGGUUGUCGUCAGCUCGUGUCGUGAGAUGUUGGGUUAAGUCCCGCAACGAGCGCAACCCUUGAUCUUAGUUGCCAGCAUUCAGUUGGGCACUCUAAGGUGACUGCCGGUGACAAACCGGAGGAAGGUGGGGAUGACGUCAAAUCAUCAUGCCCCUUAUGACCUGGGCUACACACGUGCUACAAUGGAUGGUACAAAGGGCUGCAAACCUGCGAAAGUAAGCGAAUCCCAUAAAGCCAUUCUCAGUUCGGAUUGCAGGCUGCAACUCUCCUGCAUGAAGCCGGAAUCGCUCGUAAUCGCGGAUCAGCAUGCCGCGGUGAAUAC
rnacentral:rRNA from 1 species